UAGCUAGUUGGUGAGGUAAAAGCUACACCAAGGCGACGAUCGGUAGCUGGUCUGAGAGGAUGAACAGCCACACUGGACUGAGACACGGCCCAGACUCCUACGGGAGGCAGCAGUGGGGAAUAUUGGACAAUGGGGGGAACCCUGAUCCAGCAAUGCCGCGUGUGUGAAGAAGGCCUGAGGGUUGUAAAGCACUUUCAGUGGGGAGGAGGAUAUGUAGGUUAAGAGCUGACAUAUUGGACGUUACCCACAGAAGAAGCACCGGCUAACUCCGUGCCAGCAGUCGCGGUAAUACGGAGGGUGCGAGCGUUAAUCGGAAUUACUGGGCGUAAAGGGUGCGUAGGUGGUUAAUUAAGUUAGAUGUAAAAACCCUGGGCUUAACCUAGGACUGAGAUUUAAUACUGAUUAACCGGAGUAUGGGAGAGGGUAGUGGAAUUUCCGGUGUAGCGGUGAAAUGCGUAGAGAUCGGAAGGAACACCAGUGGCGAAGGCGGCUACCUGGCCUAAUACUGACACUGAAGCACGAAAGCGUGGGGAGCAAACAGGAUUAGAUACCUUGGUAGUCCACGCUGUAAACGAUGUCAACUAGCCGUUGGUCAUAUGAAAAUGAUAAGUGGCGC
rnacentral:rRNA from 1 species